UACGUAGGUGGCAAGCGUUGUCCGGAAUCACUGGGCGUAAAGCGCGCGCAGGCGGCGAUCUACGUCUGGGGUGAAAGCCCGGAGCUCAACUCCGGGACUGCCUUGGAUACGGGAUCGCUUGAGGAUUGGAGAGGCAAGGGGAAUUCCACGUGUAGCGGUGAAAUGCGUAGAGAUGUGGAGGAACACCUGUGGCGAAGGCGCCUUGCUGGCCAAUUACUGACGCUGAGGCGCGAAAGCGUGGGGAGCAAACAGG
rnacentral:rRNA from 1 species